ensembl:miRNA MIR8076 microRNA 8076
CCUAUCCACACGUCUGGUCUAGAGUUCUCCUGUGAGAGCUACUAAGUCUUAUAUGGACUUUUCUGAUACAAUGUAGUGGAAAG